GGACGAUUCGGCUAUGGGUAGGCCCCCGGGUUCUCAGCCCGGAAAAGCGGGUUCGAGUCCCGCAUCGGCUAC
rnacentral:tRNA from 1 species